UACGGGGGGGGCAAGCGUUGUUCGGAAUUACUGGGCGUAAAGGGCUCGUAGGUGGCCAACUAAGUCGGACGUGAAAUCCCUCAGCUUAACUGGGGAACUGCGUCUGAUACUGGAUGGCUUGGAUUCGGGAGAGGAAUGCGGAAUUCCAGGUGUAGCGGUGAAAUGCGUAGAUAUCUGGAGGAACACCGGUGGCGAAGGCGGCAUUCUGGACCGAUAUUGACGCUGAGGAGCGAAAGCCAGGGGAGCAAACGGG
rnacentral:rRNA from 1 species